GGAUGUGAGAGCAAUCUGGCUGUGACCUCUGUCAUCCCAUUGAUUGCCAGGGUUGAUUCAGCUGAUUUGGCUGGCUGUGCUAGCUUCCCCUUCCUCCUUUAACACUCUAUGUGUCCCUCCCAAAGCCACACGUGGCUGAAGAGGAUGACCUUCCUCCAUAGAGGAGGAAGGGUAUAUGAGUAGCUGCACUCCCAGCUCUUGAGGUAAGCUGAGAACAUGACUAACUGAUGGCAAAACAUAAAAUAACAGCAGUAGAAAAAUAAAAUACAAGAAGCAAUUCAAGACUCAUAU
rnacentral:sRNA from 1 species